rnacentral:rRNA from 1 species
UCGAACGCGAAGGAAGUCUUCGGACUUCUGGAGAGUGGCGCACGGGUGAGUAACACGUGGGUAAUCUGCCUUUGGGUGGGGAAUAACGGUCCGAAAGGGUCGCUAAUACCGCAUAACGCAGCGGCACCGCAUGGUGACAGUUGUUAAAGGGGGGGAUCGAAAGACCUCUCGCCUGAAGAGGAGCCCGCGUCCGAUUAGCUAGUUGGUGAGGUAAUGGCUCACCAAGGCAUCGAUCGGUAGCCGGCCUGAGAGGGCGGUCGGCCACACUGGCACUGAGACACGGGCCAGACUCCUACGGGAGGCAGCAGUGGGGAAUUUUGGGCAAUGGGCGCAAGCCUGACCCAGCAACGCCGCGUGAAGGAUGAAAUCCCUCUGGGAUGUAAACUUCGAAAGUCGGGAAAGAAAUCGCCAUGGAUAACACCCGUGGUGGAUGACGGUACCCGACGUAAGCCCCGGCUAACUACGUGCCAGCAGCCGCGGUAAUACGUAGGAGGCAAGCGUUGUUCGGAAUUACUGGGCGUAAAGGGCGCGUAGGCGGCAUGGCAAGUCGGGAGUGAAAGCCCGGGGCUCAACCCCGGAACUGCUUUCGAAACUGCCAAGCUAGAGUACGGAAGGGGCAACUGGAAUUCCCAGUGUAGCGGUGAAAUGCGUAGAUAUUGGGAAGAACACCGGAGGCGAAGGCGGGUUGCUGGGCCGAUACUGACGCUGAGGCGCGAAAGCCAGGGGAGCAAACGGGAUUAGAUACCCCGGUAGUCCUGGCCCUAAACGAUGGAUACUUGGUGUGUGGGGUUCUCAAAGUCCCCGCGUGCCGGAGCUAACGCGUUAAGUAUC